rnacentral:tRNA from 1 species
GGAAAGAUGCUCGAGUGGCUGAAGAGGCACGCCUGGAAAGCGUGUGACCGGCAAAACCGGUUCAGGGGUUCGAAUCCCCUUCUUUCCG